GCGGGAAUAGCUCGCCAGAGCACGACCUGCUAAGGUCGGGGUCGCGAGUUCGAGUCUCGUUUCCGCUCCA
rnacentral:tRNA from 1 species